UACGUAGGGGGCUAGCGUUGUCCGGAAUCAUUGGGCGUAAAGCGCGUGUAGGCGGCCCGGUAAGUCCGCUGUGAAAGUCGGGGGCUCAACCCUCGGAUGCCGGUGGAUACUGUCGGGCUUGAGUACGGAAGAGGAGAGUGGAAUUCCUGGUGUAGCGGUGAAAUGCGCAGAUAUCAGGAGGAACACCGGUGGCGAAGGCGGG
rnacentral:rRNA from 1 species